CCUACGGGUGGCAGCAGUGGGGAAUAUUGGGCAAUGGGCGCAAGCCUGACCCAGCAACGCCGCGUGAAGGAAGAAGGCUUUCGGGUUGUAAACUUCUUUUAAGAGGGAAGAGCAGAAGACGGUACCGCUUGAAUAAGCCACGGCUAACGACGUGCCAGCAGCCGCGGUAAUACGUAGGUGGCAAGCGGUGGCCGGAGUUACUGGGUUGAAAGGGCGUGAGGCCGGGAAGACAAGUCAGAGGUGAAAGCCCGCGGCUCAACCGCGGAACUGCAUUUGAAACGGUUUUUCUUGAGUACCGGAGAGGUCAUCGGAAUUCCUUGUGUAGCGGUGAAAUGCGUAGAUAUAAGGAAGAACACCGGUGGCGAAGGCGGAUGACUGGACGGCAACUGACGGGGAGGCGCGAAAGCGUGGGGAGCAAACAGGAUUAGAUACCCGGGUAGUC
rnacentral:rRNA from 1 species